CCCACUUCACAAAACACACCACAAACUAGUUAUUGUGUUUUGCAUCCCAUUUUGCUCACUGAACCAUGUGGCACCAUGUGAGUUAUGGAAGGCAUUACCUUUCAUCUUCCUCACAACAAGACAUUAAUUCAGGUCCCUCCCACCAACAGAGAGAGAGAUCGGAAAAAAACUGCCUGUCAUUUCAUUCAUAUGCAGGCUUGAUUCAAUUAUACACAGGACCUCUCAUCACAGCACAGGCAAACUUGAGUUAGUCCAUUAACCUCUGUAUGAGUUCACCAAUCUAAAGUCUAGCAACCACUGAUGGGAACCAUCACUGAGCUCUUCACAACCUCCAAACUGAACGAAAAUGAGAAGCAACGCUCUCCACCCUUAUCUACCUUCUGAUACCACCGACCAUUCGUCACAUGGCAUGUGGUAGGAGCAAAUGUGUACUUUGACUUCACAGAUGCCUAUUUUUACUUUCAUACUGUGUGUUUAUGCAGAGCAACAGAGGAAAGGUUGUGUAGUGGAAUACUACUCGCGAAAUCUUUAUAAAGAACUAAAUGUCAGCUUCUGGUCUUUGUAGCAGCCGAUGCUGUAGAUAGAAGAGGAGACAAGGCCAGUCUGGAAGGUAAGCCUCAUUAUUUGUGGGGAAAAUGAGAUGAAUGUGGCACUGAUGAAUCCUUGAGCAGAUAUCAAACUUAGUGGGAGGCUCUCCUCAUGGCCAGUUCCAAACGAAGUGCAGUCACUGACGGUUGGCUGGAGGGGGACUGAGCAAUGGUGAAGACCGAGCUGUAUGACGGUUGGCUGUAGGGUGGCCUUUGCUGUGUUUGAUCGCAGUUGGAGCUCUCGAGCACGAUGAGGAAGACCGCUGUGGUCCAUCUGGCCUGGUCUUUAAUCAGUGCUUCCCUUCAGAGAGGGGGCCACGCUUUCCCUGUGCUGACCAGGCCAGCUUUUGCUUAGAGCAACCACAAGAUGAAUGUAGCUUAUUCAUAAUAUUAUUCAGCCCUCUGCAACAGUGAAUAUCUAUAGUGGAUUUCAGUUGGUCUAUAUUGAAUUGUAAUAAUAAUGUAUCUAAUUAUGUCUGUCUUAAGUUUUAAAAGAAAGAAAAAAGUUGGCAUAUCUUUGAUCAGAUGUGUCAUACCCAUUGAAAAAUUGCUUCUUAUAUAUCUUACACUGUUUAAAUAAUGCACACACACAAAGAUACACACACAAUUAUUUAUACACAACAGGUCAGUUUUUUAACUCUAGUCCCCUCAAAUGCUAAACUAAAAGUGUACCACAAGACUAACAAAUCUAUACGUGUUUGAUAUUCAUAAUACAUGGCAAUCAUAUAGUAGCUUUUCAAAGUUGUGCAGACUGAAUUUGAUUCUGAGCGACUACUGUAAGUUAUCUGAAAAAAGUAUCUCAUUUUUAGCUCAUUGAUAUUGAAGGUACAACUCAUAUCUCUGGGGUAAAAUCAAACAGAAAUAUGCCAUCGAUCUCUCUUUUUUCCUUUCCUCGUUCCCCCUGUUCCCCCACCUAUCUUUCCGUGUUUGUAGAUACUCCAUCACCUUGUCUUUCUGAGCCCUGGGAAAAGCAUCGUCAGUAUUUCUGCGCCACUGUCCUCCAUCCAUGCUGCCUUUCUCCCAGAACUCAUGGUGCCUUACUUAAUCAAAGCAGAAGAGAGCAAGACGAGAGAAAGGAAAAGAUUCAGAAAAAGACACAAGGGCCGCUAGAUGUAGACAGAAGGAAUGCCUUAAGAAGCAAUUAGCAUAUGUACCCCCCCACCACCCCCGCCUGAAACGGGAUUAUUUCAGUGAGUUUGUAUUGAUGUUUUUGAACAGGCUCUAUGGCAAAGCAUUUAAUGCUGAACACUGCUGUUAGAGAGAAUGCAUUAUUAAUGUGAGGGGAAACUAACGGGGACCAGCAGUUCCUUGGGGCUGUGAAGAGGACGGUUGGCGUCUCUGAGGAAGCAACACCACGCCUCAAAGGUCUUCCUCAGUAAUGCACACAUGCCAGGCAUCUAUCAUUUAUUCAUGACAGUCAGGCGCCUCCAACUCCCUCGAACAAUUAACGAAUCAAUGAAAUGUAUGGGCUCAGAAACUAUCAAUUCGGGGAAACAGCGCCGUUUGUCAACGUGUCAGCUCUUGGGCACAGGCUAUCAUUCAGGCAGAGAGCACAUUUAUCACUUUAGAAACAGCCUGCGUGUCAUAGCAACGCGGAUAAUCCUACUACAAAAUGGCUGCCCGAUUCUGAUGAAUGAUUGAACUUCUUUAAUAACAAUCGGCCGUGACUGCUUUUAUUAAUUUAUUUAACAUGCACUCCAACAUAAUGGAUGGGGUUUUUCAAGGAGUCUCUGGAAUCUGUUUUCUUGUAAAUAAACAGCAGCGUGUUUUGUUCAGUUUGAGGGAACAAAUCUUGUCCAAGUGGCCCGUUUAAUUUCAAAUCGAGUUCAUCUUAAAAGAUUGUAGGCUGAACAAUUCAACAACUAAUGUCUUCGAGCUGUAAAAGUAAACGUGGGCGAAGAGAAUGAGAGGAGGAGAAAAAGAGUGAAAUUGAUGAAUUACUGGCGCUGCUUUCUACACUACAUUGCCUUCGCAAUUCCUGUUCAAUUAACAAAACCAUUAAUUAUAGUACUUAAGCAAGCCGGGGUAAACCAGACAAGCAAGCAUUCAUGCACUUAACACACAUUCCUGCGUAAGCAUUUACCGCUCCUCUUUUAAAAAUCACUCCAUCAUCAUUCCUGAAAUACUGAAUCAUUAAAAUGUCUAUUUCUUUUUCUGGAAGAAUAAAACGGCACCGGUGCUGAAAAAAAACAUGAACUAUUUUCUGCAUUUGGAAAUACUGUGUAUUUUAGUAUGCAUUCUCGUCUUGAGUGCCGGCUCAGCCAUAGAAAUGACUCUUCCUUUGUAAUUUCCCCCCCUUUUCUGCUCUUUCUUUUAUUUUGUAUCUUUUUAUGGCUUUGCUUGAAUAGUCUCACUUGAAACACAAAGCUCUCGCUGUUCACUGGAUCCUCAGUUUUGAUGUUCUUUUUCCCUGCAGAAAUCACAGCCCUGAAACUCCAGAUGAAGACUAGACCUUUAUUCUGUAUGCUGAGAGAGCUGUCUUUUCAAAGGGAAAAAGGGGAGAGUUUUCAAGACCUCCAAUCUGCUGCUCUCCUCAUCAACACCCAGUCCCUGUGAAAUCAUCAAAAAGCAAAGACAGUGGGGAAAAAAAAAUCACAUCUUUUCAUACUGACUCUGGGCUCAGAGUUUCAGUAUUAACUGUCGUCCCUGGAGGAAGAGUCUUCCACUAGAUAGGCACAGGGGUCAGAUGUCACCUGUCCUCCCAGGCGAGUGGAGCACUGGUGGGGCUAAGACUCAAGCAAGGCAGGCUGCCCUGGUUCUCUCUCUCUCUGCCUGGCUGGAGACACCUGCUCCUCGCUUCACUGGUGACGGCCCCCAGUGGUGCUUUUUACGUCUACUUCCACAUGCACAAGCAUCCUGAAGCACUGCGGGUGUGCUAGUGGAUAUAUGGCUUGGAUGAAUAUGCAAAAUGUUUCAAAUCCCUGAGCUGCGGAGGAUUUUAAGGCAAGUGUGUACACGCACCUCAGAAAGGUUGCAAAGAAGGGUUUAAAAAUCAGCUCUCUCUGCCGAUGAACACCCAGCUUCAUGCGAUCGCAGUGUGUGUAUGUACACUUGCGUGUGUGUUUGUGCACUGGCAGAGGAGCUCCAGUGCUGUCAGUAUGAGUCUGAUUUGUGUGAGAAUGUGGUGCGGCUCCAGGCAGGCAGGCUGAUCCUGUUUUGUGGAGAUGAGGAACGAGAGCCCAUCACAGAUUAGACACCCACAGUUUCGUGUCGAUUUAAUGCACCAAGUCAGGGAUUUAUUCUUAACCGACCGGCGCUUACAGCACCAGCCAGCAAACCAGGGCUUUCCCAUACAACCAUCUCUCUUCCCCCCAAGACUGUAGCAGAAGAUCAGAAAUUACUGAAUGAGAACGUAAAGGAUGGUUAUCUACUUUCAUAGCUCCAGACUUGAGUAAAAACACAUUAUAAUCAGGAAAAGCCAUAGCCAGCUAUUAUCUACAGUAUUAGUAUGCUCAAUAUUGGCCACCUAUUAAUGGAGAAAUAAAACAACUUAAUUUUUAUGUGCUACAAAAUUUAAUAAUUACACUAGCCAUCCACUUAUUGAGUUAUUUGGUAACAUAAUACUAAUAAGACACAUGCUUUCUAUUUCACAUGUUUUCGAACAUGUGAAAUGUGCUAAAAGGCUGCAGAGCGCCUGCAGAACAUAUUCAGAAAGUUGUUGGAAAUUCACAAUGAUGCUUGAAACAAAAUGUACAUAUAAAAAUCUGUCCUUUAGCCAUCUAACAUCACUAUUCUCAAAUUACUUUAAGCAUACACAGUCACACACACACACGACGCACUUUCAAUUUCAGGCAUCAGUACACCACCGCACAAACACAUUCUGAGCAGGAAUGCACAAACAAUACACUAACACAAGCCGCUUUUUCUCUCGCAAUCUGUCUCUUUCUCUUUCUCUCUGGCUAACUGAUAGAAAGAUCUAGUCGGAGUGGGCGGCCGUUUCAUCACACAAUGAGGCAUGAAAACAUUGGCUAAUUCAAGCCUAAGGGCUGCACACAUUUACCUAAAUGAAAGCCCUGGCCCCCAGUUGGCUGGAUGGAUCUCGGGGGAAAAGCAGCGAGCCCCUGCCUGGGAAGGAGCCUUCCGCCUGGGCUACUGCCGAGUUCUGUGAACACCUUACCAUCAUCUUCAGACACUGCUCGCG